CACCCAGACUCCUACGGGAGGCAGCAGUGAGGAAUAUUGGUCAAUGGGCGGGAGCCUGAACCAGCCAAGUCGCGUGAGGGAAGACGGUCCUACGGGUUGUAAACCUCUUUUGCCGGGGAGCAAGCCUGAGCACGUGUGCCCAGGCGGAGAGUACCCGGAGAAAAAGCAUCGGCUAACUCCGUGCCAGCAGCCGCGGUAAUACGGAGGGUGCGAGCGUUAAUCGGAAUUACUGGGCGUAAAGCGCUCGUAGGCGGUAUGUCAAGUCAAGGGUGAAAUCCCCGCGCUCAACGUGGGAACUGCCUUUGAAACUGGCAAACUGGAGUGUGUGAGAGGAUAGUGGAAUUCCAGGUGUAGGAGUGAAAUCCGUAGAUAUCUGGAGGAACAUCAGUGGCGAAGGCGACUAUCUGGCACAUAACUGACGCUGAGGAGCGAAAGCGUGGGUAGCAAACAGGAUUAGAUACCCGUGUA
rnacentral:rRNA from 1 species